CCUAGGGGGGGCAGCAGUAGGGAAUGUUCGGCAAUGGGGGGAACCCUGACCGAGCAACGCCGCGUGAAGGAAGAAGGAAUUCGGUCUGGAAACGUCUGUUAUAAAGGAAGAAAGACGGAGGGAGGAAAUGACAUCCGAGUGACGGUACUGUAGGAGAAAGCCACGGCUAACUACGUGCCAGCAGCCGCGGUAAGACGUAGGUGGCAAGCGUUAUCCGGAUUUAUUGGGCGUAAAGAGGGAGCAGGCGGCAGCAAAGGUCUGUGGUAAAAGACUGAAGCUGAACUUCAGGCGGCCGUCGAAACCGGGCAGCUAGAGUGCAGGAGAGGAUCGUGGAAUUCCCUGUGUAGCGGUGAAAUGCGUAGAUAUAUGGAGGAACACCAGUGGCGAAGGCGACGCUCUGGCCUGCAACUGACGCUCAGUCCCGAAAGCGUGGGGAGCAAAUAGGAUUAGAUACCCCAGUAGUC
rnacentral:rRNA from 1 species